CGGAAUUGAGUUUAAAUGAGUGACAGUUUUUGUGAGUUUGUUUGUUUAAAACCCGGAUGUCGUAGUCCCACGGCCUGUUGUCCUUCACACGCGGGUUUCGGGGGUCUCUGUGGACGUUCAAGAAUCCCUGCUGUGUCAGUGGCCGUAGAGGAUUUUGAUUUGUACCUGUUGAGAUCCUCCCUCUGUGUGGGGCUGUGUUACAGGGAGCUCGCUGUGGUUUUCUAAGUAUUGAACAGCCUAUUUUCAACACUCGGGUCACUUCCCAAGACUGAUCUACCUGAGAAGGAAGACCAGAGGAGAAGGAAAGCAAAGAGUCAGAAAUGACACGUUCCCAGGGACAGCUGAUAUUCCAGGAUGUGACCAUAGAUUUUACUGAAGAGGAGUGACUGGACCUCCGUCAAGGGGCAUUGUAUAGGGAUGUGAUGUUAGAGAACUAUAGGAACUUGGCCACUUUGGGUCUUGUGGUUUCUCAGCCAAACCUUGUCGCUUUUCUGGAGCAAAGGAAGGAGCCCAGGAGUAUAAGGAGAACGAAGACAGUGGCCGUAUACCCAGCUAAGACAGCAAAAGAGAUGAUUUAUUGUACACGUUACAUUCAGCCGCAACUGAGAAGAGAACUAGUCCAUAGUUAUCACAGGUCCAGGGCAAAGGAUCAAAAGGGACGGCUUUGAUACGAGCAAGACCACCCGAGAGUUCUCUUUGUUUUCGCAUUAGAGAGACCAAGCCCCAGAACAAUUCACAAGAAACAAGGAACCCAAAUUCUGCGCUACCUGACUCUGCCUCUGAGGGUCUUUGAAACAAUGCAGCAGGAAGACCGGCUUCCAGGAGCCCUGAGCUUGAGCCCUCAGC